rnacentral:rRNA from 1 species
UUUGAGAGUUUGAUCCUGGCUCAGGACGAACGCUGGCGGCGUGCCUAAUACAUGCAAGUCGAACGAACUCUGGUAUUGAUUGGUGCUUGCAUCAUGAUUUACAUUUGAGUGAGUGGCGAACUGGUGAGUAACACGUGGGAAACCUGCCCAGAAGCGGGGGAUAACACCUGGAAACAGAUGCUAAUACCGCAUAACAACUUGGACCGCAUGGUCCGAGCUUGAAAGAUGGCUUCGGCUAUCACUUUUGGAUGGUCCCGCGGCGUAUUAGCUAGAUGGUGGGGUAAUGGCUCACCAUGGCAAUGAUACGUAGCCGACCUGAGAGGGUAAUCGGCCACAUUGGGACUGAGACACGGCCCAAACUCCUACGGGAGGCAGCAGUAGGGAAUCUUCCACAAUGGACGAAAGUCUGAUGGAGCAACGCCGCGUGAGUGAAGAAGGGUUUCGGCUCGUAAAACUCUGUUGUUAAAGAAGAACAUAUCUGAGAGUAACUGUUCAGGUAUUGACGGUAUUUAACCAGAAAGCCACGGCUAACUACGUGCCAGCAGCCGCGGUAAUACGUAGGUGGCAAGCGUUGUCCGGAUUUAUUGGGCGUAAAGCGAGCGCAGGCGGUUUUUUAAGUCUGAUGUGAAAGCCUUCGGCUCAACCGAAGAAGUGCAUCGGAAACUGGGAAACUUGAGUGCAGAAGAGGACAGUGGAACUCCAUGUGUAGCGGUGAAAUGCGUAGAUAUAUGGAAGAACACCAGUGGCGAAGGCGGCUGUCUGGUCUGUAACUGACGCUGAGGCUCGAAAGUAUGGGUAGCAAACAGGAUUAGAUACCCUGGUAGUCCAUACCGUAAACGAUGAAUGCUAAGUGUUGGAGGGUUUCCGCCCUUCAGUGCUGCAGCUAACGCAUUAAGCAUUCCGCCUGGGGAGUACGGCCGCAAGGCUGAAACUCAAAGGAAUUGACGGGGGCCCGCACAAGCGGUGGAGCAUGUGGUUUAAUUCGAAGCUACGCGAAGAACCUUACCAGGUCUUGACAUACUAUGCAAAUCUAAGAGAUUAGACGUUCCCUUCGGGGACAUGGAUACAGGUGGUGCAUGGUUGUCGUCAGCUCGUGUCGUGAGAUGUUGGGUUAAGUCCCGCAACGAGCGCAACCCUUAUUAUCAGUUGCCAGCAUUAAGUUGGGCACUCUGGUGAGACUGCCGGUGACAAACCGGAGGAAGGUGGGGAUGACGUCAAAUCAUCAUGCCCCUUAUGACCUGGGCUACACACGUGCUACAAUGGAUGGUACAACGAGUUGCGAACUCGCGAGAGUAAGCUAAUCUCUUAAAGCCAUUCUCAGUUCGGAUUGUAGGCUGCAACUCGCCUACAUGAAGUCGGAAUCGCUAGUAAUCGCGGAUCAGCAUGCCGCGGUGAAUACGUUCCCGGGCCUUGUACACACCGCCCGUCACACCAUGAGAGUUUGUAACACCCAAAGUCGGUGGGGUAACCUUUUAGGAACCAGCCGCCUAAGGUGGGACAGAUGAUUAGGGUGAAGUCGUAACAAGGUAGCCGUAGGAGAACCUGCGGCUGGAUCACCUCCUU